rnacentral:lncRNA from 1 species
GUAGAUGUAAAUAUUUUCCUCAAUAAACUAGGUCAAACUUGAGGAAGCUUGACUUUCGAAACAAUCUGUAUGCACUAUAAUUCGGAUAGAAAAACAUCACUUUGACAUGCUCUUUCUCGCUGAACAUUCUACCUAGCAAGGAGCAUAGCAAUAAUGUGAUGCAUGCAAUUGUCGCGGAAAGAAAGAAAGAGAGAAAUAGAAUGUCAUUCUUUCGAAAUCAAUCGAUUUAUUAUCAUCCAGACAGUAUAGGACAUAAAGCCUGAUUCCCAUUAUAAUGUCUUGGCUAUCUCAAUGGGACAUUGGUAUUUGCCACCUAACUCAUGUGGCAUNN